GACGAACGCUGGCGGCGUGCCUAAUACAUGCAAGUCGAACGCAGUGGGGACGGGUGAGUAACACGUUGGUAACCUCCCAUCAGAGAGGAUAACACUUGGAAACAGGUGCUAAACCGAUACUGAUGGAUGGACCCGCGGUGCAUUAGCUAGUUGGUGAGGUACCGGCCCACCAAGGCCACUAUGCAUAGCCGACCUGAGAGGGUGAUCAGCCACAUUGGGACUGAGACACGGCCCAGAUUCCUACGGGAGGCAGCAGUAGGGAAUCUUCGGCAAUGGACGAAAGGCUGCCCGAGCAACGCCGCGUGAGUGAAGAAGGUUUUCGGAUCGUAAAACUCUGUUGUUAGAGAAGCGGUAUCUAACCAGAAAGCCACGGCUAACUACGUGCCAGCAGCCGCGGUAAUAC
rnacentral:rRNA from 1 species